rnacentral:tRNA from 3 species
CAGAGCGCAGUUGAACUAGAAAAAUACCUCCCUUACACCGAGAAGAAACCCGUGCAAGUCGGGUCGCACUGA